CGUAAGUGAAUUGACUGUCUGUUCCACGCUCACUGCAGUACUCUGCUUACACUGUUGUAAGAUGUGUUUAAUUAUAUUUUUUAAACUCCCUUUCAGACACAGGCUUCAUUUUGUAAAGUAUGUGGCACAUAUGUAUGGCGGUUUUGACUCAAUUGUACGCCUAUUUGUAAACAAUUAAUUGUUGAAGAUGGUGAUAACAAUAUGUAUGCAAACAUUUGGAAAUUUGUGAAUAACUUUUAGAGUAAUUAAAACACAGAUGAUGGUACUGAGAGGUUUAUAAAAAAAAACCUACAUUAAGCUAUUUCACUGACUUCAGUUUUGAGCAAAUAAGCAUCAAUCUGUUUGUUCAAAGCAAAAUAAACUAAAUAUGGUAAGUCUAAAGGAUUUCAGUGGUGUUUAGCUCUUUUUUGUGCUGCAACUCUACUCUGUGAUG